AUGAAAAUUCAUAAUUCAGAGGGCAAAGAUUGUAGCUUCCCCUAAAGUCAUAGAUCUACCCUAUCCCUCGCCCUUACAGACGAUGUAAAAUUUAGUUUUCACUUUUUCAAGAGAGAACAUUUUAUUAUUAAUAUUUUAAAUGACUGGAAUGAUAUAUCAAUAUAUUUUCAAUAACAGGCGGCGUUAAUCUAUUGAUUUGUUCAAGUCGAUGACAUACAUUACCGUGAAUCGAUAAGAGACGAGAUAACGAGUGCCUCAGUGAGAUGAAAUGGAGAAAAGAGACUCGACAUUUGACGUGUAGAUUUUUUUUAAAAGGGAAUAGAAGAUAUUGUGAAAGGGGGAAAUGAGAAGGUAGUCUGACGGGGCGUAAGAUAGCUCCUUCUACUCUAUCUGUGAUGCAGAGUCAUUCCUGGCGGGACAACCCGGCGUCGGAUGGAUGCCAAAGUAUUAGCAUGACAAAGAGACCCUGGGACGCCUCUUCCUCUGGCACUUGUCGGUAUAUAAAGAGAGGGGGCUCUUGCUUACUGCUUGCAUGGUACUAAGGGGGACCCCCUCUGCCACUACAAUUCAAAUGCGAUGGGCGUAUGCUAUGCUAAUAUUACUUAUCCACUGGCGCUAAUGCAUUAUCAAACCACUGGGACCAUCUCCGAGGAUCGAGGCAUCUCCACCCGAUGUUACAGUAUAUCCAGAUUGCAAUUUUGUCUGGAGGACGAGCGAUCACCGAGAAAUGGUACCACCUGCGGUGUCGGUCAGGACGAGUCACGCCUCUAUCCCGAGAAAUGGAAGAACAACUAAUUAACUAUCGCAGAGAUGAUAGUUAAUGCCUUUCUUUUUAUUUCGCAACGCUGAAGACGGAUUUUUAUCUGAUUCUCUCGCCUCACCUUUUACUCGUGGUGUGGAUGAGGAGCACUUGGGUCUCAUACCUCGAGAUAAGCCAUUCGAUACGGAACUCUUUGGUGUUUUGGUAGAGAUGGAGAAUUUGGGGCAAAAAGAGGACGUUAUUUUUGCUCCCCUUUCAGUGGAAUUGAUUCGAGGAGUGACGAGGCAGAGACAACGGAGAUUUACCAGUCAUCGUCGAGAUGACCAUCCACGGAGAUGAGCUGUUGAGGAUUUCAUCUGCACUCACUUACUUCUCAAAUAAUCUACAGUGGGCGGAGCUGGUCUCGACAUCAUUCACUUUUUUUACCUGUGAAAAGCCCGAAAAGUUGGGCAUGAUUGUCGUCAAUUUAGGGGAAAAAGAGACACAAUGGAGUUAAAAAAGAGUCAAGCAGUGGUUUUGCGGUCAGGGUGGAACGAAACGUCACCACAAUGGUCGUCCUCUCUACGGCAGUGGUAUUAUUAGGCUCAGCGAUUCAGUACCACUUGUCCUCAUCCGAUUUGGGACAUUUUUUCGUCGCUCCUUGUCGUUUUGCCUGGGACAGGUGACAUGGGACAUUCUCAGGAGCUCCUUUUGUCCUGGAUUCCGUGAUUUCUCAUGCGUCAGUGACCGAGAGAUGGGUCUUCAGAUUAUGAAAAAAUUGAAUUACCAUUUUGGAACAAAGGUCUUUUUGUAUCAUGAUUUUUUUUUUUUUGAUUAAUAAUGUUGGGAUGCUUGUGACACGUGUGAUGGUGUGAUUUCUACAGUGUGAUGUUACCGAAUCAAAAUUUAUUACACGAAGGAAUCUUCUUCCGAAAAAACAAUGUACGAUUAA